AUACGUAGGGUGCGAGCGUUGUCCGGAAUUACUGGGCGUAAAGAGCUCGUAGGUGGUUUGUCGCGUCGUCUGUGAAAUUCCGGGGCUUAACUCCGGGCGUGCAGGCGAUACGGGCAUAACUUGAGUACUGUAGGGGAGACUGGAAUUCCUGGUGUAGCGGUGAAAUGCGGAGAUAUCAGGAGGAACACCGGUGGCGAAGGCAGGUCUCUGGGCAGUCACUGACGCUGAGGAGCGAAAGCAUGGGUAGCGAACAGGAUUAAACACCCCGGUAGUCCAUGCCGUAAACGGUGGGCGCUAGGUGUAGGCGUCCUCCACGACUUCUGUGCCGUAGCUAAAGCAUUAAGCGCCCCGCCUGGGGAGUACGGCCGCAAGGCUAAAACUCAAAUGAAUUGACGGGG
rnacentral:rRNA from 1 species